GAUGAACGCUGGCGGCGUGCCUAAUACAUGCAAGUCGAGCGAACGGACGAGAAGCUUGCUUCUCUGAUGUUAGCGGCGGACGGGUGAGUAACACGUGGAUAACCUACCUAUAAGACUGGGAUAACUUCGGGAAACCGGAGCUAAUACCGGAUGAUAUUUUGAACCGCAUGGUUCAAAAGUGAAAGACGGUCUUGCUGUCACUUAUAGAUGGAUCCGCGCUGCAUUAGCUAGUUGGUAAGGUAACGGCUUACCAAGGCAACGAUGCAUAGCCGACCUGAGAGGGUGAUCGGCCACACUGGAACUGAGACACGGUCCAGACUCCUACGGGAGGCAGCAGUAGGGAAUCUUCCGCAAUGGUCGAAAGCCUGACGGAGCAACGCCGCGUGAGUGAUGAAGGUCUUCGGAUCGUAAAACUCUGUUAUUAGGGAAGAAAAUAUGUGUAAGUAACUGUGCACAUCUUGACGGUACCUAAUCAGAAAGCCACGGCUAACUACGUG
rnacentral:rRNA from 1 species